UUUGCCUACGGGGGGCAGCAGUGGGGGAUAUUGCACAAUGGGGGAAACCCUGAUGCAGCGACGCCGCGUGUGGGAAGACGGUCCUCUGGAUUGUAAACCACUGUCCCCAGGGACGAAAAUGACGGUACCUGGGGAGGAAGCUCCGGCUAACUACGUGCCAGCAGCCGCGGUAAUACGUAGGGGGCAAGCGUUAUCCGGAUCUACUGGGUGUAAAGGGAGCGUAGACGGCGAUGCAAGUCUGAAGUGAAAGGCGGGGGCCCAACCCCCGGACUGCUUUGGAAACUGUAUAGCUGGAGUGCAGGAGG
rnacentral:rRNA from 1 species